AUCGCUUCUCGGCUCUGUAUGAGCUAAGAUCAAGCGUAGUACCUGUUCUUAUCAGUUUAAUAUCUGAUAUGUCCUUUAUUUAAGGAUUGUAUAUUAAAUUAAUUUUUGAAGCAGGGGGUUAGAACAGCAGCUUGCUCUGUCUGCCCUAUGCAUCAACCUGGUAUUGCAGUGUCUCCAGGAAUGGUGCAUCUCCC
ensembl:snRNA U2 U2 spliceosomal RNA